AGAGAGGAAACGCAAAGAAGAGGAAGAAGCUCGGGAGAGAGCAGAGCGUGAAGCUGCAGAGAGAGAAGCUGCUAGAGUGAGAAUGAGACAAGAGAAAGCUCUUGCUCUUGGAGACGAACCUGAGAAAGGUCCUGAUGUCACACAAGUAAGUUCUCCUUCUUUCUUUACCAAUUCAUUACUUAGUCUACGCCAAAGACAUCAAUUCUACUUCGCUUAAAAACUUUGUGAGGGAUGUGCCUCUUUAAAGAUUAGGUUCUAUGGUUCAUCUAGGUUUUGGUACGGUUUCCGAAUGGAGAAAGAAAAGGGAGGAGGUUUGAAAGCAACACCAAGAUACAGACAUUGUACGACUACGUUGAUUCACUUGGAGUGCUGGAAACAGAAGAGUAUAGCUUGAUUACAAACUUCCCAAGAACAGUCUACGGAAGAGACAAAGAGUCAAUGUCACUGAAAGAUGCUGGUUUGCAUCCUCAGGCUAGUCUCUUCAUUGAGAUCAACUGAACUUUCUGUUUCUUUCUUCUUUGGCCUCUCUUUUUAAAUAAUUAGUUUGUUUGCUUCAAUGAUCCGAUGGACAAGUUCACAUAUAUAACACACACAUACAUUCAGAAGUUCUGUUACAUAUUGUUAUAUUUAUUUUCUUAAAUACUACGCAACAACCUCGAAGAGAAAGUAAAGUGGUUUAGCAUGCACAACUUCUCUCUGAUUAUUUAAAUGGACAAAGUGAUAAAAGAGAAUUAAUAAAGAAGCAGAAGUUGUAUACAUGAAGAUACCAUUCUGUAUAUUUUCAGUUUCUCAACGUUCAACUUCGAGCAGGAGUCUUCCCCUUCUUAUCCUUUGUCUCCCUCGCAGAUGCCUUCAUCAAAGGCUUCUCCACAUCGCCCGAGAUGUCAAGAUGAACGCCGGGAUCAUGAGUCUCGUACUUGGCCCCCAUCAUUAGCGAGUUGUUCACAGCUUGAAAGUUGCUGUUAACGAAGGUAGUAAGGAAAUCAAGCUCAUGUUUGUUUUCUCCAUGAUUGUUGUCGAGCUCUGUCUUCAUGGUGGCUCCUAUGUUGGAUCCAGAGAGCGUGAUAACUCUGACGCCUUCAUCCUCCUCCCUUUCUUCAUAUUGGCUCGGUCCUCCCUUCUCUGCUCCCAUGUGGGUUAAAGACGAGAUCAUGUUUUUUAGGUCGUGCUGGAAAUGUUGUCUCCCGUGCUUCUCUUCUUUGCCUCUUGCCUCGGUUAGCUUCAUUGUUUUUAUUAGGUAACUAAUACCAGAAGAAGGGAAUGGAAGCAAGAUACAUAUAUAGUUUAUAUUUUAUGGGAAUAAAAGAUGAGGGCAUUGCCUUGUGUUGCAAUCUAAGAAUUGGAAUAACUUUCCAUUGAGUUCAAGAAUAUCUUUUGGCAAUUGACAAAAAAUUGUAUGACACAAGAGAAAGCACAAAUUCUCUUGGAGAUAAACUUGGUAAGGGUUCUCAUGUCACACAAGUGAGUUCUCCUCCAUUUUCUCUGUAGUUCGCACUGUUACAAAAACUUCAAUCUAUUUCACCUUUUUGGUAUUCUAAAACUUAUCACAUGUUUGAAACUUGCGUUUUGACCUCCUAUGAGAGUAGCUGGGAAAAAGAAAAAAAUACGAAUAAAAGAAGUCAUAACUUCUAUUUAAUAGUAUAGAUGAUUGUGGCAUCAUGCGUUUGGCACUGGAAGAAAGAAAUCCCACAAAAAAGUUUGGCCUGAAAUUUGAUCAAGAGAUAUAAAAAUGAGUUAACUUUCAUCUGGAAGUGAUCCAAAGUCAAUAUUCCAACAUAAUGCACAUCUUACUAGUGAAUUUUCCGUCUGGUAGGGAGACAGUUUUGCGAAAGUUCACAUAAUGCCAUACAGAGCCAUUUCCUCUGAUAACAGCCAUUCCUGACCCUAGAGAGAGAAAAUUAAGAUUUUUGGAUUUCUCUAUUUCGACCUAAUAUAGAAAAUUUUAACUGAUUUGUUAAACUGUUUUCAGCAUAAUCACAGAAAAUUUUCAUCAUUUUCUGAACCUCGUAUUUUUCAAGAAGCAAAUAGGUCCAUAGUUCUAGAGAGAAAUUGUCCACUAUAGUAAGAAAAUACACUGCACCACUUGAUGCAGAUACUCUAUAUGCACCCAAACAUGAAACAUCAACUUGUAUUCAACCAAAAACUUCUGCUAUAUUCAAAUUGUCUGAAAUAGCUCUAAAACACACAUCACAUUUACUAUAGCUAGCUUUACCUAAAACACCAAAAUACAUAGGCGAAGAAGAAAGCACAGAAAAGGCCGGAUGUCCUUGCCUAAGAUGGCACAAAGCUUGAUCGAUAUUCCCAUCAGUUUUUUUGACCCGUGCGACUUUAACAUCCUUAAAAUAAUACACCCCAUCACGUUCCUCGCUGGCUCUAGUCAUAGGCUUCGUGUAACGGUCAUGUAACACACAAAUAGCAUCAGUAAACAAUGAAAAACAAUUUAUGUUCUUUAGAAGCUAUGAAACCGAGAUUAAGGAAAAAUUUAAAUCUGAAACAUAAAGCACAUCUUUUAGUGAUAAUCGUUCAGACAACACCAUUACUCCCAUACUAGAAGACAUCGUAAUACUUCCAUCUGCAAAUCCUACACCAAGUUUAUUUUAUAUUCACCAGCAACGAAAGAUUGCCAGUCAUAUGGUGAGAUGCCUUUGUGUCAAUAAUUACAUCACCAAGUAUCUUACCAUACAGCUUCUCAGAUGAUCCACCUUGUUUUUCUUGAAUUAUAUGAGUGAUAGCCUAUAACUGCUCAUGACUUAGAUCAUCGGCAGUCAAAACAUGAGGAGCUAUAGCAUGUGCUACAUUCGUUGUAUUUCCUCUGCCUCUUCUGAAGCUUCCAUGACCACCUCCUCUACUGAAGCCACGCCCACCAUGACUUCCUCCUAUCUCAGCAGUCCAUUCGGGAUAUCCGACAAGCUGCCAACCUGUAUUUUUAUCAUGACCAGUCUUCCCACAAUGAGAACACCGAAAAUAUAUUGCUUUGUUUCCAGUUGAAAAGUCAGUUAUGCUUCCUUGUCUUGAUGCAACACGACGUAGAAUAUUUGUGGUGUGAUCUUAUGUUUCCCGUUGUGUCACAAGCCCAACAAUAUCUUGUGUUUUUUCUCUGUUUUAAGCUGAUUUCAGUCUUGCUUCUUCUCAAAUCACCUUAGCGUAAACCUUACCGAUAUCAGGUAACUCUAUGGAGCUCACCACUUCCAAAUCUGGAUUCAUCAAGUCCCAUAAUAAAGAACAAUACUUAGGUUCACCCUAUGGUGAAUGGUUAAAUUCACCACAUUCUUCAUAACCAACCAAAAUGCCACGUAGGAAUAGUUUAAAAAAAUAAUAAAAAUAAAAACUUAAAUAGUUGAAAAAAAACAACACCGACAUUAAUUAGCUUUUUUAUUUUUAUUUUUAUUUAUUUUUGUUUGUUUAUUUAAUUUAAACCAAGGAUAUUAGAGACAUUUUACCCUUUAAUGAAUGUCAUUUUUGUGACUUUCUCCUUCUAGUGCUCUUUUUGAGACAUAAACUUCAAAAGAUGCUAUUAUUGACAAUUGCCCAAAUAUAUUUACAAUAAAAACUCUAUGAAUUAAUAAACUUAAUAAAUUAAUAAAUUUCUUCGGUCCCGAGUUAGGUUGGUUCAAAAUAUGACACAAAUCGAUAAAAUAAUAAGAUAAUAUUUUUUUUGAUUAUGCUAUGUAAAUAUAAUGUCUCAUUAAAAUAAUUAACUAAUAAUAUAUAUAAUUUAUAUAAUUAUAAAUAAUAUAUUAUUUUAUUUUGUAUUUAUAAUAGAUUUUAUUUGUAUUUUCUUAAGAUUUUAUAAUAUUUUUGAUUAUAGCUGAUAAAAUAGUAUGAUACACACCUCAUGCAAUAAAAUAAUAUAAUAAAAAGGAUAUGAAAAUUGAAUUUAUAAAUUUUAAUGAAUAUUAUAAAGAGUUAAAUCAAAUAUUUUCUUAUUAUACAAAAGUAUAUAUUAAGAUAUAUAAAGUUAGAGAAGGAAACCUUUUUAUAAAUUAGUAAGUCUAUAAUUAAAAUUCUAUAGUCCUGCAUUAUUAAUUUAUAUAGUUUUUGCUGUAUAUUCUAAAACUGAAGAAAGAAAACAAAUCAAAUGUAACAAAAAAAAGAAAGAUCCAAAAAUAAAAUCCAGAUUGAACAAACAUCCAUCAGAUCGUGUUGGAGUAGAGGGGGUAGUUUAGGUAAUUGACUGACCAAGGACAUCGUCUAUUAUUCGGCACAGUUUUCUAGAUUCGAGAGAGAUACAUCAGCUCCUUUGCUGCGAUAAUGGUUGACGUCGCCGACAAAUUGGGUUACUUCCAGGCGGUUACAGGUCUCGAAGAUGCCGAUUUAUGCACAGAGAUCCUCCAAGCUCAUGGCUGGGACCUCGAACUCGCUAUCUCCUCCUUCACAUCAUCAUCUGACCCUUCGUCUUCCCGCGUCGAUGGCGAUCACAAUCGCGAACCCUUCACUGAACUCGAAGAUGCCCCUUCUCGCGCAAUCGAAUUUGACGACGGGAGAGCGUUCAGGCCUCCGGGAAUCGCCUGGAAGAUCAUCACCUUACCGGUUUCGAUCGUCUCCGGUAGCUUAGGGUUAGCUUCUAGUGCGAUCGGGUUCGGAUUCUGGGUCGCCGGCGGAGCUUUGAGUUAUUCACUUGGCAUGUUAGGGUUCGGAUCAGGUCGUGGUGGGUCUGAGACUGAGUCGUCGUCGUCGUCGUCAUCGGCGGCAGGUGAAGCGAUGGAGUUCAUUGCUUUGUUCGAUAGAGACUAUGGGAGAAACCCUCUAAAGCCUGGUUUUGUAUCAGAAGGUUUCAUGGACGCGCUUCAGCUAUCUAGGAGCCAGUUUAAGCUCUUGUUUGUUUACUUGCACUCUCCCGACCAUCCUGAUACGCCUGCGUUUUGCGAGAGGACGCUUUGCGACGAAGGGGUUGUUGCGUUUUUGAAUGAGAACUUUGUGGCUUGGGGAGGUAGUAUACGAUCUAGUGAAGGGUUUAAGAUGAGUAAUAGCUUCAAGGCUUCCAGGUUUCCUUUUUGCGCUGUGGUUAUGCCUGCUGCUAAUCACAGAAUCGCUCUUCUCCAGCAGGUAGUCAAAAUAAAUACUUGGAUGAGUGAGUUUGGUAUUAUUAAAUAUAUUAAGGUGGUGGCAAGAGAUGUAGUUCUUGGUUUUAGUUUGUUCUUUGUUCCGUUUGCUUGUGGCAGGUGGAAGGACCAACAACUCCAGAAGAAAUGAUUGCUAUACUGCAAAGAGUUGUAGAAGAUAGUUCAACUGUUCUUGUAACCGCAAGGGUUGAGGCAGAGGAAAGAAGAACCAAUUUGCGCCUGAGAGAGGAACAAGAUGCUGCUUACAGGGCUGCUCUUGAAGCCGAUCAAGUAUGUUUUCCCCCUUCCCCAAGACAGAUUAUCAUUAGUCUUUUGUCUAAAUUUGUUGUUUCUUUCCUUUGUGUGUUUUAUUAGGCAAGGGAGCGACAGAGACAGGAAGAUCAAGAGCGUAUAGAAAGGGAAGCUGCUGAAGCAGAGAGGAAACGCAAAGAAGAGGAAGAAGCUCGGGAGAGAGCAGAGCGUGAAGCUGCAGAGAGAGAAGCUGCUAGAGUGAGAAUGAGACAAGAGAAAGCUCUUGCUCUUGGAGACGAACCUGAGAAAGGUCCUGAUGUCACACAAGUAAGUUCUCCUUCUUUCUUUACCAAUUCAUUACUUAGUCUACGCCAAAGACAUCAAUUCUACUUCGCUUAAAAACUUUGUGAGGGAUGUGCCUCUUUAAAGAUUAGGUUCUAUGGU
rnacentral:lncRNA from 1 species